rnacentral:rRNA from 1 species
CGUGUAGGCGGUUGGUCAAGUCGGGUGUGAAAGCCUGGGGCUCAGCCCCAGAAGUGCAUCCGAAACUAGCCAGCUAGAGCGCUAUAGAGGAGGGUGGAAUUCCUGGUGUAGCGGUGAAAUGCGUAGAUAUCAGGAGGAACACCGGCGGCGAAGGCGGCCCUCUGGAUCGUUGCUGACGCUGAGACGCGAAAGCGUGGGGAGCAAACAGGAUUAGAUACCCUGGUAGUCCACGCCUUAAACGAUGGGUACUAGGUGUUCGGGGUGUUGACCCCCUGAGUGCCGCAGUUAACGCAUUAAGUACCCCGCCUGGGGACUACGGCCGCAAGGUUAAA